CAAUGAGAUCCAUAUCAUUUGCAGAUUGCCUCAGUAAAGAGAUAGGGAAAGUUAAAAGUGGAAUAUCCACUCUCUCCACCCACUCACUUCUCCCACAGUUAUAACCUGGGACACUGCAUUGUAUGGAUUUAUUGGACAGAAGAACCUCCAGAGGCUGUGAGCUUACAGAUAACUCACUGGCAAAAUGCUUCUGUUGUUUCUGUCUCUGGUUUUGGGAACUCCAACACAAGGACAAGGGGUUGCAGUAACGUGUGACAAUAUAUCGGUUUCAAAAGACCAGCAACUGACACUGUGCUGUACAGUGGAUUACACUGCCACACAAGCUAUCAAACAUGGGACGAAGGGGACCACAAAGGACACAACAUGUGUUACUGAGUGGUUUGCAUGGAAGUAUUCAGAUAAUGUACUACGGAAUUGUAAUAAAGACUGUGACAAGAAAGAAACGGAAGCACGACACUACUGUUAUAAGAAAGAAAAUGUUACAAAAGCUGAUGAGGGAAAUUACACUUUUUUCAUUGGCACAAACUGUGGGAUUGGUUCAGGGACAACAAGCUUUUUCACUGUUGCAGAUACUGCGAAAAGUGUUGACAACUGGAGAGAGCAACCAGUAUGGCUAGCUCUGGUUGUUAUCAUCAGCAUCGUCACUGUUCUGGGCUUUCUAUUAUUUCUAAAAACUUCUCGUUCUGGCAGAAGAUUGAUGGAACGACUCAAGAGUUCUAUGACCCAGAGCAACAACAACACUGAUGAGAGCCCUGAAGGUUCAAGAGAGACUGUUACCCUGGUGCCUGCAUAACAUUCAGCGUGAGCCAGUUGUCUUGUUGGUUCUUUCGAAAUGAACUCCACGUUGACCUCUGCGAUGUUGCUGUAUGUCAGAUGCAUUCUAUACCGAUAAAACACUACUCACUUUUGCACCUAAAUUAGUUUUGCACCAACAUUUGUGGAAUCAGUUAGUGAAAUCACUAAUAAUCGUCUUUCACAGAAAAAAAGGGUGCUAAAAAGGGUGCUAUCUAGAACCAUCCCCAUAGGAGAACCAUUUGAAUAACUCUGGUUCCAGGUAGAACCCUUUUCAUAACCCUUAAGCUUGUUUACAAAGGGAGUUGGUUUUGGUCUAUAUACAGUAUACAUUGAUGUUGUAAUAUUCUGUAAUAUUCUCACAAGCAUUGUUUUCAUAACUACUAAGCUAAACUUGUUUUUAGUUUCAGCCUAAACUCUGACGUAAUUUUCUGGGACUCAUGUUUUUUUUUAUUAAUAUAAAAUAUUAUUGAUUUGUGUACAAAUAAACGUUUGGAAAUAA